UAAGUGAAAGCCAAAUAGGCAACUAUCUGUUAACUAGUCCAUUGCUAACUUUCUAGCUCACUUUG
rnacentral:tRNA from 1 species